CGCGGCCUAUCAGCUUGUUGGUGAGGUAAUGGCUCACCAAGGCGACGACGGGUAGCCGGCCUGAGAGGGUGACCGGCCACACUGGGACUGAGACACGGCCCAGACUCCUACGGGAGGCAGCAGUGGGGAAUAUUGCACAAUGGGCGAAAGCCUGAUGCAGCGACGCCGCGUGAGGGAUGACGGCCUUCGGGUUGUAAACCUCUUUCAGUAGGGAAGAAGCGAAAGUGACGGUACCUGCAGAAGAAGCGCCGGCUAACUACGUGCCAGCAGCCGCGGUAAUACGUAGGGCGCAAGCGUUAUCCGGAAUUAUUGGGCGUAAAGAGCUCGUAGGCGGUUUGUCACGUCUGCCGUGAAAGUCCGGGGCUCAACUCCGGAUCUGCGGUGGGUACGGGCAGACUAGAGUGAUGUAGGGGAGACUGGAAUUCCUGGUGUAGCGGUGAAAUGCGCAGAUAUCAGGAGGAACGCCGAUGGCGAAGGCAGGUCUCUGGGCAUUAACUGACGCUGAGGAGCGAAAGCAUGGGGAGCGAACAGGAUUAGAUACCCUGGUAGUCCAUGCCGUAAACGUUGGGCACUAGGUGCGGGGGACAUUCCACGUUUUCCGCGCCGUAGCUAACGCAUUAAGUGCCCCGCCUGGGGAGUACGG
rnacentral:rRNA from 1 species